GGCCACACCUACAGCAUAUGGAAGUUCCCAGGCUAGUGGAGCCACAGCUGCAGGUCUCCGCCUCAGCUACAGCAACACCAAAUCUGAGCCACAUUUGCAACCUACACCUCAGCCUGCAGCAACACCAGAUCCUUAACCCACUAAGUGAGGCCAAGUGUGGAAACUGCAUCAUCAUGGACACUAUAUCAAGUUCUUAACCAAAUGAGCCACAAUGGGAACUCCUAUCUGACAGUUUCUUUUUCGAUGAUUUUUUUCUAUGUGACUCUUAGCUCCUUUUGUAUGGGUGACUGUAAAUUCCUAGAGAGAUUGCUUUUGACUUUUUGAGCCCACAGGACAGUUAAAGACCAACAUCUUCUGAGAUUAUAACAAUUGUCAACCCAGAAUUAGAGAUACUCCUUCACUCGCUCCCAGAAUCUUGUAAGAAGAAUUGCAGGAGAAAAGUCUAUCUAUCAAGUACAAUGACCAAAGGCAAGGAAGCAAGCAUCUGGGCAUCCGGGUGGCAAUUCUGGCUCUCAGAAAAUUCUGUUUUAUUAUAAGUCAGGCUUAUUGCAUUUAAAAUACAAAUCAUCACACACUGAAGCCUCUGGUUUUUAAACUGUUCACUCUACCUUCAAAACACUGGGCUGUUUAUCUCCUAUUUUGUUUUGUUUUGUCCUGUUCUUUCUCUCCAGGUCCCAGGGGAUGCCCUGGAUCAAUACAGCCUUCUCCUGAACACAGGGCAGCAAGUCACCAAGCUUGUCCAUCACUCUUCCCAAGCUGACAUAUUCAAAAGACCUGAAGUAGCUACAUCUGUUCAGUCAAGUUAUUACAAGCAGCUUUGAGAGCGAGCCCCCCACGGAGCCAAACAACCACAGCCCAGCCUCCUCCAGGUCCUUGAGAGGUUGCAGCCACCAGCAAUCAGCACAAGCAGUCCUGCUUUCUCCAUCACAAGACAACCCCUCCUCAUUGUAAAAGGUUUGCUGCAGCCUUUUGCUUUGGGGGUAUUUUUAUAAUGAGCAAAUGUGGCUUACAGAGAGCAUCAUUUUCAGACAGAGAAUGAAAAAUAUUUUGCGUCUUAAAAAUGUGGACAUCUUGAACCUAUAUAUGUGUACACACUUUAUUUGCACAGACAUACCUCAGAGAUAUUGUGGGUCUGGUUCCAGACUACUGCAAUAAAGUGAGUAUCACAGUAAAACAAGUCACACACUUUUUUUGGUUUCCCGGUACAUACAAAAGAUUUACACUAUUCUAUAGAGUCAGCAUGCAAUGGCGUUACAUUUAGAAAAACAAUGGUUGCCACAAACUGUCAAUCUGCAAAAAACACAAAAUCUACAAGCACAACGAAGCAAAGCACAAGAAAAUGAGGUCAGCCUGUAUAUUAGUAUGUAUUUAGGUACAUAUUUUCCUCCAUUGUGUUUUUCAAGGUUAUUUGUCCCGUAGUAUAGUAUUGGGCUCACCAGUGUUUAAUAAGAUUUUAGGUGCACUCAAGUUCUAUUCUCUCUUCCUCUGACAGAUGAAUCAAUAGAUUAAAAAAAAGACAAGCGCUGAAAUUUGUAAUUCCUAGGUUGCUGGAAAGCACUGUAAAUUUCACCUUAGGGCCAGAUGUGUAUGACUCACAUAAGUCAGUUCCAGGCUGGGGCACAGGUAGAAACCCUCACUGACUAUUGUUCCUAGUAGUGACAGGUGUGCGGGCACCUGCAGAACACAUACUGCUCUUCCUGCCAUAGAUGAGAUAUCAGCACACCACCAUGCCCACAAGUUCAACCUUCUUUCAAACAAACAUCACUUCUUAGAUCAUACAUGUCACAGCAGCUGCUCAAUAUUUUAAAAUAUGGGCCCAGAGUUCCCUCGUGGCUCAGAAGGUAAAGGAUCCGGUGUUGUCAUUGCUGUGACUCUGGUUACAGGCUUUGACGCCUUGCACGGAAACUUCCACAUGCUGUGGGUACCGGCAAGAAAUAAAUAAAUAAAUAAAACAUGGACUGGGUUUUUAACCGUCUUCAAGCUACCAAAGAAGAAGCUGGAGGUACAGGUAGGCUCCUGACUUUCUGCAGUUACUCUCUUCUCAAAAAGAAAUCUCCCCCUAGGCACAUGCAAGAAAGGCUAAAGUAAAAAGCGACAAUGCAAGGAUGUGGAGAACCUGGGUCCCUCAUGCAGUGCUGAUGGGAAUGUCCAAUGGGGCAGCCACUCUGGAAAACAUUUUGGCAGUGUCUUAUAAGGUAGGCAUGUACUCAACGUAUAACCCAGUAAAUGCACUCUGGGGCACUUGGUCCCAGGGAAACGAAAACUUCGGUUCACAUAAAACCCUGUACACAACUGUUCACAAUAACUUUAUUCAUCAUGGCCAAUGACUGGGAAUAGACCACAGGUCCCUCAAGGGUACAAAAUACCAUGGAAUACGAUUCAGCAUAAAAAGGAACCACUGAUAGACACAACAGUUUGGAAGAACCUCAAGGCAACUGUGCUGAGUGCAAAAGUUAGUCCCCAAAGGUUAUAUGUAUGAUUCCAUUUACGGAACACUCUUGAACUAACAAAAUUUUAGAGGUGAGGAACAGAUUAGUGGUUUGCAGGGGUUAGAGAUGGGAGAUAUGAGGCUUUAAAGAGGUAGCAUAAGGAAGCCAUGUGGUUAUGGAAUACUCUGGAUCUUGAUCUGAUGGUUAUAUAAAUUUAUACAUUUGUAUAACAUUUAUACAUCUAUGCUUAAACUGCAUAGAACACACACACACAACUAGUGAAAUCUUAAUAACCUCUGUGGAUUAUAUCAAUGUCUAUUUCCUGGUUGAGAUAUUGUACUACAUACAGUUUUACAAGUUGUUAGCCUGGGGAGACACUGGGUUAAGGAUACAGAGAACCCCCUGCACAUUUCUUGCAAUUUUAUGGGAAUCCCUAUUUCAAAAUUUUAAAAAUGACAAGAAGAAAGUAACCUCUGGAGUCCCCCAUAUUUCUAUUUUCCCUUCUACUUCCCCCAUAGUCCCCUCUUCUCAAAAAUUGUCUGUUUGUUCUAAUACCUCCCCCAUACUAUUUUACAUCUGCUCUAAUCAUAGCUCUGACUGCUCCACCAUCCACAUUUUAACCACUCUCUUCAAGGUCACCAAUGGCAUCCAUGCUCCUCCAUCCCAGGUCAGCUGUUCAUCUUCAUCACGGACCCACCCUCCUAAGCCAAGACCGCCUUUGACAGAAGUGAGCUCACCCUGGUCCUUCGUGCACUUUCUUUACAUCAUGAACCUCCCACGCUCCCUUCUCUGAGGGCCUCCUUCUCAGUUUCAUUUGCAGCUUCCUCCUUCUUUCCCAGAAAUUCCUCUGUGGCCCACUCCUUCCCUGGGUAAAUGCAUCCAGUCUCCCAAGUGUAACCAGUAUGUAACCACAGACAACUCCAAAUUUCCAACUCCAGCAUGGUCCUCAUCCCUGAAUGUCAGAUUUGUAUUCAACAACCCUGGUAAAUCUCUCUGGAGAUAAUUAACAGACAUAUUC
rnacentral:lncRNA from 1 species